rnacentral:rRNA from 1 species
AUUGAACGCUGGCGGCAGGCUUAACACAUGCAAGUCGAGCGGGGAAGAGUAGCUUGCUACUUGACCUAGCGGCGGACGGGUGAGUAAUGCUUAGGAAUCUGCCUAUUAGUGGGGGACAACAUUCCGAAAGGAAUGCUAAUACCGCAUACGCCCUACGGGGGAAAGCAGGGGAUCUUCGGACCUUGCGCUAACAGAUGAGCCUAAGUCAGAUUAGCUAGUUGGUGGGGUAAAGGCCUACCAAGGCGACGAUCUGUAGCGGAUCUGAGAGGAUGAUCCGCCACACUGGGACUGAGACACGGCCCAGACUCCUACGGGAGGCAGCAGUGGGGAAUAUUGGACAAUGGGCGAAAGCCUGAUCCAGCCAUGCCGCGUGUGUGAAGAGGGCCUUUUGGUUGUAAAGCACUUUAAGCGAGGAGGAGGCUACUUGGAUUAAUACUCUAGGAUAGUGGACGUUACUCGCAGAAUAAGCACCGGCUAACUCUGUGCCAGCCGCCGCGGUAA